AUUGAACGCUGGCGGCAGGCCUAACACAUGCAAGUCGAAUGGUAACAGGAAACAGCUUGCUGUUUCGCUGACGAGUGGCGGACGGGUGAGUAAUGCCUGGGAAACUGCCUGAUGGAGGGGGAUAACUACUGGAAACGGUAGCUAAUACCGCAUAACGUCGCAAGACCAAAGAGGGGGACCUUCGGGCCUCUUGCCAUCAGAUGUGCCCAGAUGGGAUUAGCUAGUAGGUGGGGUAACGGCUCACCUAGGCGACGAUCCCUAGCUGGUCUGAGAGGAUGACCAGCCACACUGGAACUGAGACACGGUCCAGACUCCUACGGGAGGCAGCAGUGGGGAAUAUUGCACAAUGGGCGCAAGCCUGAUGCAGCCAUGCCGCGUGUAUGAAGAAGGCCUUCGGGUUGUAAAGUACUUUCAGCGGGGAGGAAGGGAGUAAAGUUAAUACCUUUGCUCAUUGACGUUACCCGCAGAAGAAGCACCGGCUAACUCCGUG
rnacentral:rRNA from 1 species